GCUUCAGUUCCAGCCGCGGCCACGGGCAGCCGCGGAGGGCGGGGACUGUGGGUGGAAACCGGGGAGUCGGCCGGGGCCUAAGGAAGUGGCUUCUCUCCCGGCGGACGGGUCGGAGCUCCCGCGCCCGCCGGGCCGCCCGCCGCAGCUCCUCCGCGCUCUCCCGCGGCCUCGGACCGCGGCGCCGCGCGCGGCCUUCAGCGAGCGAGACACUGGUGCGAUCGCCCGCGGCGGACAUCCUCGAGCAGCGUUUGCAACUGGAGAGACCCUAAAGACUAAAAGAGAAGAUGAAGCUCACGGCAACAAACGGCCUUCAUGGGGAGGAAAGCCCAGAGAGAGCUGAAUCCGAAAACGAAGAACUGAAUUCAAAUGCGGGGCUAGACCUGCCAUUUAUGAUGUUGCCCCACCCCCUGCUUCCCGUUAGCCUGCCUCCUGCAUCAGUUGCCAUGGUGAUGCAUCAGAUGAACCACUUGAAUACUAUUUCCAACAUGGCUGCUGCAGCUCAAAGGCAGAGUCCACUCUCCAGAGCCGGGGCUUCAGUUAUUAAAGAAACCGACAGCUCUUCUCCUGCCGCUUCUCCUGAAGCGAGCAGUGCGCCUGAGGGCCUGGGUGCUUCCAACUGCUCCCCGUCCCAACUUGAGGAUAUGCCCAAGGUAAUUGCUCUGGUGCCUGAUGAUGGAGAAAAAGAGCUUCCAGACCAAGGUAAUGGAUCAAAUCCAAAAAAACUCCAGAAGGAAAAUGUUCUAUCCCUCAGUCAAGAGCUUUUUAUUCAGCACAAAGUACUGUGGGGAACAAAAAGAAGCAUAAGGCAGGGAACCUGCCCUCAAGAUGCUUACAGUCAAGUUUGGGAAGCAAGACAAACAGGAGAGAUGCAAAUUGCCAUUCCAGUGAUGAAACCAAACCUCGAUAAAGGUCAACUAUCUGGGCAAAUCGUGGCUCCUGGAUUUGCAACCCCCUUUAUUUUUGCCGAUAGUCUUUCCUCCGUGGAAACGCUUUUAACCAAUAUUCAGUUCCUGCUGAAAGUGGCUCUAGACAGUGCUCGUGUCCAGGAAAGGCAAAUGCAAGAAGAAAAGAAGGAGCUGAGAAUGGAGCUCUACAGAGAGAGGGAGAUGCGGGAGACCCUGGAAAGGCAGCUGGCAGUUGAGUUGCAGAGCCGGGCCACAGUUCAGAGGCGUCUGAAGAAGGAGAAGAAGGCCAAGAGGAAGCUGCAGGAAGUCCUGGAAUUUGAAUCCAAGCGCAGAGAGCAAAUGGAGCAGGCCCUGAGGCAGGCCACUGGAGGUGACAGUGUGCUCAGCAUCCUCAGGGGGUUUGGAUUCUCAGAAAGAGAUCUUGAAGGCAUUGGGACUGAGUCUGACAGUGCAGAAAUGCAAGAAAACAUCAACCCCACCACCAUGUACUGAAGGAACUUUCUAUUAAAAUAUAUAAAUAUAUAUAUAUAUAUAUAUCUAUGUAUGUACCACCAUCCAUUACCUUAAGAUUCAUGUAUAUUUCAUUAAAGAAUACCCUCAACCUUUCCAUGCUUUCCAGUGCUGUGUGAAGAAUGAAAGUUGCAGCAUGAAACUGGAAGAACCAUUUGUUACAUUUUAAUCUACAGCAGCAUUGUGAAGAAACUUAGAAAGGUUUUAUAAGCUCCCUAUGCUAAGCUAAGCCUGUUACAGUUGAUCGUUUGUAGGUCCCUCCUCCCAGAGAAGUUUUAGAAUUUUUAAGCACAUGCAAGAGUUAUUCCCUUUGAGAAAACUAACUUUUCCCCCCUUCCCCCUCCCACCCUUUAAAGAGGCAGUAGUUUUGUUGAACAGUGGCACAAAUAUGUUAAUCGGCCUGAAACGUCCCCACUGGCUUUACCUAAGUGCAGAUCCUGAGUCCGCUUUUGCACCAAGACCAAUCACGUGGAGCUGUUGCAGUUGUGUUCGUACUUUAAGCUUUGUUUACUGAACCAGAUAUUCAAUAAAUAUUACAUUUUGCUGAGAAA